UGUAGGUAGACUAUAUUACAUGGAUUUAUUGUGAUGGUGUAGACUAUAUUACAUGGAUUUAUUGUGAUGGUGUAGACUAUAUUACAUGGAUUUAUUGUGAUGGUGUAGACUAUAUUACAUGGAUUUAUUGUGAUGGUGUAGACUAUAUUACAUGGAUUUAUUGUGAUGGUGUAGACUAUAUUACAUGGAUUUAUUGUGAUGGUGUAGGUAGACUAUAUUACAUGGAUUUAUUGUGAUGGUGUAGACUAUAUUACAUGGAUUUAUUGUGAUGGUGUAGGUAGACUAUAUUACAUGGAUUUAUUGUGAUGGUGUAGGUAGACUAUAUUACAUGGAUUUAUUGGGAUGGUGUAGACUAUAUUACAUGGAUUUAUUGUGAUGGUGUAGACUAUAUUACAUGGAUUUAUUGUGAUGGUGUAGACUAUAUUACAUGGAUUUAUUGUGAUGGUGUAGGUAGACUAUAUUACAUGGAUUUAUUGUGAUGGUGUAGGUAGACUAUAUUACAUGGAUUUAUUGUGAUGGUGUAGGUAGACU